rnacentral:tRNA from 1 species
GUCAUCAGUAGCCAAGUGGAUAAGGUGGAGGAGUUCAAAUCUGAAGGUCUGGGGUUCGAAUCCCCAUGCUGCCA